rnacentral:rRNA from 1 species
CCUACGGGGGGCUGCAGUGGGGAAUUUUGCGCAAUGGGCGAAAGCCUGACGUAGCGACACCGCGUGAGCGAAGAAGCCCCUUGGGGUGUAAAGCUCUGUCAGCUGGAACGAAAAAAAUGACGGUACCAGCAGAGGAAGCAUCGGCUAACUACGUGCCAGCAGCCGCGGUAAGACGUAGGAUGCAAGCGUUGUCCGGAUUUAUUGGGCGUAAAGAGUUCGUAGGUGGUUUGUUAAGUUUGGUGUUAAAGAUUGGGGCUCAACCCUGAAACUGCACUGAAUACUGGCAGACUCGAGUGUGGUAGAGGCUAGUGGAAUUCCCAGUGUAGCGGUGAAAUGCGUAGAUAUUGGGAAGAACACCGGUGGCGUAGGCGACUAGCUGGGCCAUAACUGACACUGAGGAACGAAAGCCAGGGGAGCGAAUGGGAUUAGAUACCCCGGUAGUC